rnacentral:lncRNA from 1 species
UUUAGAGGUCGGUCUAUCACCAGGCCGGACAUCGAUCGGCGCCCGUGACUAGCGCAGAUUGCCAGCACUCUGGCACCGCUGCCAUAUGCCCUGAGCGGAUGGCGAUAGAUUGUUAAUGUCCACACCUUUUCAGCCGUUUGGUUGUUCAUUUCAAGGACCCUUUGACACACCCACGAGUGCUAAACCAAAACGCCCGAAAUGGCAAACACAGAAUAAUAUCGCAACUUUUACUGCUGCUUCUCGUGAUUAUGCCGGACAUGCAUCCCGGGUACUGACAACAACUGAUAUUGAAAUUUUCACUUUAAAGGCAAGUUUGUUUCCCUAAGAAGCGGUCGAGUUUGUAGGUCCGCCUGGAACUGUCCCGGAGAUUAGACGAGAACUUCGCCUCUACUUUUUCAAUGGAGCUACAAAAUGAACCUGCUGACCUCACAUGGUGUGGCGAGUUGAGAAUGUCAACAACAAAUGCGUGUGACUAAAGUUCCAACUCUUGCGAAGACAGACCUAAAGAAAAACCAAAACAAAAUAAAACAAAACGAAACAAAA